UGUUUGUAGCCAAAAAUUACUUGUUCUCCACCCCCAUUUCAGCACUGUUAUAUCCACGCUCUUCUACCCCAACUAGCUGAAACAACUCUAAUCACCUAUUUUUACUGUUUGAGUUAGGCAGUGUUCACAGGACUCAUUUUGCCAGAAGAGCUGAAAUGCUUGCAGAAAGGAAAAAGGGAAAGGGAUACAAACUCAGAGCUGCAAAAUAGCAGCUGAACAUGAUAAUAUCAUCAGCUGGCACAGGCGGCUGCACACUGAGCACCUGUCUACAGGCUAAAAUGACUGUUUUGUUUGGGGAUUUGUUUGUUUGUUGGUUGGAGUUUUGGUUUGUUACGCUGCAGGAUCAUUCCUAACUGCUAAUACAAUUAAGAAAGAAACUUCAGAAAAAGAUCACUAAGUCCUGUGGUUUUUAAUUCCCCAUUGGGUUUUAGGAAGAAGUAGUUUGUGGCAAACAAGGAAGACAAACCUGAAUCCUUUGCUGCAUCCUUCCUCCUGUUUAAGAAGAUUUGUGAUUCUACAUCUAAAUCCAAGAACUUUCCACGUGGCCCUGAGGCACCAGCCUGACAAUCCCUGUCAGAUGAUUUAGGGAGGAAGGAGCUAAGCAUCCCCACCUGGAUAUGAUCUGGGGUUUGGGGCAGCACAAACAGUCUUUCUACUGGCUUCUCAGAGGAAUGGCUUCUUUUCCACUGUAUCUGCAGAGGAAGACUACACCCUUCUACAGGAUCCCUGCUCCAACAGAACCAAAUCUGCCACUCUGGGAGGACUGCAGACACCAAUCCAACUGGAGUGCUACCAACACGCUGACCAACAGGGUGUCAGGUUGUAUUCUGACUUUGCUGGUGGUUUUUCUUUUGUAUUAUUGCACAUAUUUUGGUUUUCUUUUCCCUUUUCAUAAUAAAUUGUAUUUCUGACUUGGGGUCUCUCACUGGUUUUGCUUUCAAACCAAACCAGAACACAUGGGCAUUACAGCAGUGCCCCCCACCUCAUCCAGCAGCUUGGUUCUAAAUGAUUAGAGCCUGAAGGACAUGGGGCUAGGCUGCAAACCCUAGCAGGAGACUGCAUUUGUUCCUCCAGAGAGCCACUUGAACUGCUGGAACUUAGGAGCAAGUCACCAAACAGCAACCAAAUAAAGAUCACCUUCUCUUUUCAAUGCCUUGAAAUGAAGCUCUCCAUCAGUGACUCCUCAUCAUCAAGAAAUUUUCAGAGUAACACUCACCCUGUCCCUGACACCUGAAACCUGCACAUCCCUUCAUUUAGAGGAUGCACAAUGCUUUUGUUAAUUAGAGCCUUAGUUUAAUAUGAGCUGUCAAAGUUCACUUAACUUCAAUUAAUUGUUUCUCCUGAGCUUAAUUUCUUUAGUUAAGUAUUGAUUAAUCAUUGCUUAAUUAUGCUGAAGUCUCACUGGGUGAUAUUUCAGUUGCAUACCGCACCAAUGUGCUGCUUUCUAAAAAUACUUAGAGAAUCAUCAGAAAUUUUAUGUAUUGCUAUUAUUGGGAUGUCUUUUAAUAUUUAUCUUUUCCUCCCUUAUGUUCCAAAAUGUAUAUUUAACAUUUUGUGUUCACUUCCACUGAUUUACAACUCAUUUUUCUCUAUGUUGGUAGGUCAUACAACAGAGUCUUGCUCUGCCUGGUGAGGGGAGAAAAGUUUUGCCCCUGGCAUCCAGAGUCUUAUGCCAGGAAGAGUAGGUUAGGGAACACAAGUAAAUGAUCUUUACUGUGGCACAAUAUAAACAACAAAAACAUUGAUGGCAUGGUUUUUUUCUUUGAACAUUUACUUUAAGUGACAUGCAAUGACUUUGGCUCAAAUAUUAUCUGUAUUUCCUCAAAUCCACAAUGCUGGAGCUCUUAUGAAUGUGGCCUUCAGACCAAGGCGCUUCCAAUCUGAAAUCUCAGUCUGUUCUGAAGUAUCAGGAAGAGAAAACUACCUCCACCUCUCUGUAGUAUUUCAACAGCUCUGUAAUGUCAGGUUGGAUAGCAAGUAUCUUAAUUUUCACAGAUAAGUAUAAUAACUAUUACAUUUUUUCCAAGGUCUCUCUUGAAUUUUAAUAUUUACCCAAAUUAGAAGUUAAGUUUGAUCUGUAGUGAGAAAUUAAACAAUUACCUUUUCCCCCACAAUAAUUUCCCUGGAGUCCAUUUAGGCAUUUCAUUUUACCUCCACACAGAAGCAUUUUUUAUUAUUUUUCUAGACAAGAAAGAGUCAUUCCCCAGGGAACACUUCUCGGCUUGACUCGGUUUUAUCACAGUCAAGUUUUAACUUUCUCCCUGUGGUACACAAUCACUUUUUCAGAGAUCUCUCAACCUACUACUACUAAAAUAUAAUUUUGAACGUGUUCUGUGCUGUAGGAGUACUCAGCAUUAUUUACUACUGUCAUUCCAGAAUCUCAAACGAGCACUGGUAGGAAUAUGCUGUAAAGAGAGUAAUCAAAAUGACAUCCUUUUCUACUACCUUUCACCUGCUCAGUGGUGUAAACAUCUGGCACCUUGGGAAUGCACAUCUUUGCUGCGUGAAAGGCAAAAUAAACUGGUGAAUAGACUGAUUGUUACAUAGAUCAUGGAAAACACUUCUGUUCCCUUAUACUGAAUGACACAAUAGACUGAAUUUUCCAGAGAGGAAUGGAUGAAUUAGUCCAGGAUAAAAAAGUACUGACUAAACCCUUGCUCAGAAUUUCAACAAGUGCUAAUCAAAACAUUCCCAGAGUACAAUUAAUCUGUCCUUUGUUAUUCACUUCCUAUCACAACUCUGUGUUUCUGGAUUCUGAUCAAAAGCAGAAACCCCAUUCCUAUAGCACUGCUUGGUUGUAACAAAUUUGUACCAAUAGAUAAUCAAGAAACUGAAAAGCAAGUCUGUUGUCAUGGCUCUCUUUGCAUCUUCAUCUAAACUCUGUCUCCUAGUCCAGGUCAUUACUGAUGCAGGUGCUGAACAAACACACUCCUGCUCUGACAGGCUCACUGGAAAAGAAGAAACAAAGAAUUGGAAAAAGGAAGUUUUACCUUCCCUGGUUUCUGUAAAGGAAACUGCAGCACUGAGACACAACAAGCUGAAUUUCCCAGUGUGAUUUGGAUCCAUAUUCAUUAAAAUGAUAAGUCAUUGAUCUUAAUUACAAUCCCCAGGAUCCUGCCACAUGCAAGUCAAGCUGUUUGUGGAAGUGUAGCAAAAUCAACUUGAUGCACAUCCUCAACUUUCUUAUGCUAAUUCCUAAAGACAAAAACAUUCCCAUUUUGUCAGCUUUCUCGGUGUCAGCCACAAUUUUACAGCUCAGCAUUAUUUAUUUAUAUUGUAACCUACCUAAACAGGCAGAGUCAUCAACCACAGUUGUAUCAGGGGCUUUGCUACCAGGAAACAAAACUUCUAAUCCAGGUGUGAAGAUGAGGCCACAGAGAUGAACAGGCAGUUAAAGUGGGAAUUAUGAGUUUAUCAGGGCAAUCAGCCUGGUCAGAGGGGACCAGAGCUCCUCCAAUCCCCUUCUGCAGACUGAACCCUGCCUGAAUAAUGUUAGGAGAGAUGGCUAAAUCUAUGUGCCUAUGAAUGUUUCAAACAUUCCAGUACUCUCUAAUAAAGGAAUACACACAAGGCUUGCAUGAGCUUUUCCAUCUGUCACAUCCAAAUUGCAAAAUCAAGCACGGCACCAUGCAACUCUAUACCCAGUGAUCUGCUGGAGUUUGCAAGUUUUCUCUCCCGCUACAUUAAUAAUGUGACAUGUCCCCAUUAAAAUAAUAAAUAAAUAAAUUUAAAUGAAGGGAGCCAUGGCUUAUUUCUUUCAGCACACCUUCAAAUGCACAGAAUCCCUGGGUCCCCUGGCUGGGCUGUCACAACCUCCUUUUUGUUAAGGUCUCUUAAACACUUUUUUCAUCCUUCCAGCUCGUCUGAGAAAAGAACAGGAGGACAAAACAUUCUUACAACUGCCUGUGAACCUAUACACUGAGAGUGUCCUGUGGGAAGUCUGCUGUGGAUUUCUGGUCUCUGGGACAUGUGGUCUGUGAGGCUGACUGCAUUCAGGAUACGACACCUUGUAGAGGAAGGGCUGUGAUUUGCUGUAAAAAAUCGUUCAGGCAUAAGAGGAGAGAAAGAAGUUGUAAAAGUUAAAGCAAGAUCCUCAAGAGGCAUCUGCACUGCCAGUGUCUAUGAGUUCAGUGUGUACCCUCUUUUCUCAGCACAUUUGCUUUGGGCAAAACUAUAAUAAUAAUAAUUCAUCAACUGAAGUAGGUAAGUGUUCCUGUUAACAUAUCUAUCCUAAAAUACUUCUGUUAUUAAUAAACAACCAAGUAAAAGCUGCAGGUCACCAUAACUUUAUCAGACUUCUCACCCUAAUAAUCUGUUUCCAUUUUGAGUUACACUGUGCAAUUGACUGCACAGUGCUUUCUUGCUUUUCAAAAAUUUCAGUUUGCUUCCUUGCUUUUCAAAAAACCACAAUUGCUUCAUUUGGAUUUGCUGAUUUUUGAUAACUGAAUUGGCUUUUGUACUGUAAUAAUUUCUCCUUCUAUUUCUCCAUCUUUCACUUUACAGGCGCUGUAGUUUGGUUUUGAAUCCUGCUCUCCUGGUACCAGCAGCAUUUUCACAAGGGCUGAAGCUCUUGUGGCUGUUCUCAUCCAACUUGGUCGAGCAGACUAAAAGGAAAAGAAAUGCAGCUAAAUUCUGAGGGAUCAGGUUCUACCCUUCGAACAUAUUAUGCAACUUUUCAUCCUUUGAGUAGUCUUAUUGAUUUCAGUGGAAGAAUUUGUUAUUGCAGAAUGUGAAUAAGAUGCCAGAAUUUCACCCUAAAUAUUUCACUUUACAAAGGAAGCCAUGAUGCAGAAGAAAACACACCCUGAGCUGCAGCAGGACACAAAAUUUGCAGUUACAAUAAAAGCUGGGAAGCCUUUUUCUUCUUUGUGAUGGUGGCCUCCUAUUGAAAGUGCUUAAUAAACAGAACCAGUUCUGUGUGAAUAAAAUGAAAGAUGUUCAUAAACAAACUGAGAGGCUUCUAAUCCCUACAGCACCACAAAUAAUUCAAAGAAGUCUUGAAGUGCCACGAUAAUGGCACAAGAUGGUUAUCUCUGUAUUAUUGGUUUUGUCUACAUCAAAGAAGGCUCUGUAGGAAAAAAUAAUGUUGCACAAAAAAACCCAAACACAUUUCUUUUUUAAAAAGCAGACAAUUAAAAUUAUCCAGAAGUUAAGGAAAAUAUGAACUAAAAAUAUUUUUUCUUUGAAAGUCUGUAUUACCCUUAAAACAAUUUUAUGGUGGAUAUUGCAGGCUCUGGAUUAACAUAAAUGUCUGAUUGAAAAUCUUUGUAAGGAUGUUAAGAUUAAGUACACAGCUCUUAAGUUCUACAAAUACAAAACUGAUUUCAAAGGAAUCAAGUGAUGAGUAUGGAUGUCCAUGAAACAAAUAUAAUGUAUUCAUAAAGGCUUUUUCCACUAGUCAAGACAUAAAGUGACAACAACUGGACUUGUCACCUGCUUCUAAAAUUGCUUAAAUUAAACACUAUGGGCAACACUGAAAAAGGAAAGAAAGAAUUAUGAGCCAGCUGUACCUGUGGUGUGAUAACAUUGCCUUCAGGAUGGACAAGGCGCUGAGAAGAGCAGGGUAGAAGGGAAGAGAGAGGACAUUGCAGGUCGGCCACUUUUGGAUUUUGAUGGAGUCUGCCUCCUGUAAAGAAUGAAUAAUUCAACCACCCACGCCCCAUAACCAUUGAAAUUACAGCCUCCCUGUUAUUAUAAAGCAAUGUCUCAAAGGAAUAAAUAAAGUUGACAAAAAUAGUCUUCAUAAGGGUUGACACUGAUUAUAUCAGACUGAACACACUCACUCAUGGGGCUCGUCCACCUUUAAAUGUCAUCAUGAGAUGACACCUGUCUAUCCUGCUGUCAUUCUGAACAGAGAAUAAGCCUCUGUUCCCAGUGGCUUCUCUUCCUAACAAGACCAAUUCUAAGUCAUA